rnacentral:tRNA from 1 species
GGAGAGAUGGCCGAGAGGCUGAAGGCGCUCCCCUGCUAAGGGAGUAUAGGGCUUAAAACUCUAUCGAGGGUUCGAAUCCCUCUCUCUCCGCCA